UACGAAGGGGGCUAGCGUUGCUCGGAAUUACUGGGCGUAAAGGGCGCGUAGGCGGCACUGUUAGUCAGGCGUGAAAGUCCUGGGCUCAACCUGGGAACUGCGCUUGAUACGGCAGAGCUAGAGGAUGGAAGAGGCUCGCGGAAUUCCCAGUGUAGAGGUGAAAUUCGUAGAUAUUGGGAAGAACACCGGGUGGCGAAGGCGGCGAGCUGGUCCAUUACUGACGCUGAGGCGCGACAGCGUGGGGAGCAAACAGG
rnacentral:rRNA from 1 species